rnacentral:lncRNA from 10 species
GAUCCUCCCACCUCAGCCUCCCGAGUAGCUCGGACCACGGGCACAUGCCACCAUGCCUGGCUGAUUUUUGUAUUUUUUGUAGAGAUGGGGUUUCGCCAUGUUGAUGAGGCUGGUCUCGAACUCCUGGCUCAAGCAAUCCACGUGCCUCGGCUUUCCAAAAAGAUUACAGGCAUGAGCUACCGUGCUCCCGGUCAGGAAUCUUUUAAAAGUCUCCUGGGUUGUCUUGGAUGAGAAAAAUAAAAAGAAGUCUCCCAGAGAACUUGAAAGCCUUAGAUCAGGAUUCCCUUCCUUCAGAGGGGUAAGAGUUUACAGAAGGAAACGGAGGCAGAGAGAGACGCAGCAAUUUGCCCAGGGUCUCAGGUGAGUAAAAGGCCUCAGUGGUGGGUGUGGGCAGCAUGGCUGGAAGAAGCGGAAUUUGGUGUGGAAUUUGUGGAGAUGUGUCAGGAGUUGCACCUCUGGGACUAGGGCACUCACAGCCCUCUCCUAAUAACAAUAACAACCACCAUUAGCAUUUAUGGAGUGCUCGCUGCGGGCUGGCUCUGUGCUGAGCAACUCUGGCUGUCUCACUGCACACUUUACACUAACGCAAUGGGAGGGGAGGUGUCAUUAUCCCCCAGAAAGUGUCAAGGGCAGGAGUUAUUGAUUCAUGGUGUCUGCUCUUGUAGAAAUUUGAAUUCCAGUAAGGGAGAGGGGAGCCAGAAAAUAACCACGGGAAGACAUCAAUGAAUGAGAUAAUUUCACAUAACGAUAAAUGCCAGGGAGAAAAAACCCACAGGGCAAUGUGAUAUGGCCUCUGGAGGUGGAGAAGGAACUGCUCCAGAUGAGGCCAUCCGUGAAGGCUUCUCUGAGGAGGUGACAUUAGAGCCAGAGCCAGUAACGUCUGGACUUGAACCUGGGCUUGCGGCAUGGGAGAGUCCUGCAUCUGACUCCAAACUUCCCCUCCUCUGUCUCCUGUGGAUCACAGAAUGCUUUUGCCAGAGACUCAAUCCCUUGUUAAGAAUCAUGGAGUUGGCCGGGCACGGUGGUUCAUGCCUGUAAUCCUAGCACUUUGGGAGGCUGCGGCGGGUGGAUCACUUGAGGUCAGGAGUUCAAAACCAGCCUGGCCAACAUGGUGAAACCCCGUCUCUACUAAAAAUACAAAAAAUUAGCAGGGCAUGAUGGUGCGAGCCUGUAAUCCCAG